UGGGGAAUCUUGGACAAUGGGGGCAACCCUGAUCCAGCCAUGCCGCGUGAGUGAUGAAGGUCUUAGGGUCGUAAAGCUCUUUCGCCUGUGAAGAUAAUGACGGUAGCAGGUAAAGAAACCCCGGCUAACUCCGUGCCAGCAGCCGCGGUAAUACGGAGGGGGUUAGCGUUGUUCGGAAUUACUGGGCGUAAAGCGCACGUAGGCGGACCAGAAAGUUGGGGGUGAAAUCCCGGGGGCUCAACCCCGGAACUGCCUCCAAAACUAUUGGUCUAGAGUUCGAGAGAGGUGAGUGGAAUUCCAAGUGUAGAGGUGAAAUUCGUAGAUAUUUGGAGGAACACCAGUGGCGAAGGCGGCUCACUGGCUCGAUACUGACGCUGAGGUGCGAAAGUGUGGGGAGCAAACAGGAUUAGAUACCCUGGUAGUCCACACCGUAAAACGAUGAAUGCCAGUCGUCGGGUAGCAUGCUAUUCGGUGACACACCUAACGGAUUAAGCAUUCCGCCUGGGGAGUACGGUCGCAAGAUUAAAA
rnacentral:rRNA from 1 species